CAACCAACACAAGGUUGAAAACACAAGGUUGAAUCUUUUGAGUUCACAUGUCAAAACAAGGAGGUAUGGAACCUAGAAAUUCUAGGUCUGCUAGGUAUAGCAACAUGUCUUAGAAGAUACCAAACAGUUGGAGGCCAGCACUCUGAUACUUGGAAGUACCCGGGAGUGUCAUAGCAUCAGAAGAACACAGCGUACAAAUGUAUCCUCAAACUUUAGCGCAAACUUGAGGCUUCAGAAUGAAAAAUCCACUAUUCCACUGACAUGUCCUAUCCUAGACUGUGUCUAGAAUCACUUUUUUGGGGAGGAGAAGAUAAGUGAGUUUUUCUUUGGAGUGAGAGCCUCAAUGUCUUCAGCAAUAAAAUAUUAUGAAGGGUACAGACAAGUCACAAGCAGUUACAUUAUCAAAAAAUUUGUUGCUGGAAACUUUCUGGUGUGGAUUUAUUCCAACACUUUUUCUCCACACACUGAUCCUGAUCUGACAUUCUGUAAAUAUACUGAAGGAUUGAUGGCAUUCUCUCAAACCAGAGGGUACUUUAAGAGUCAAAAGAAAUUCUCCAGCUACUUGCUGCCUGAGAUGGCUGGAAGGCUAAAAAAAAUUGUGUUUUUGAAACUUAACUUUGUUUUUAUGAGAUAUUUUAUAAAUACAAAUAUUUUGUGCUACACCUUUGUAAACUGCUACA